GGCGCAAGCCUGAUGGAGCAACACCGCGUGAGUGAAGAAGGGUUUCGGCUCGUAAAGCUCUGUUGUUGGAGAAGAACGUGCGUGAGAGUAACUGUUCACGCAGUGACGGUAUCCAACCAGAAAGUCACGGCUAACUACGUGCCAGCAGCCGCGGUAAUACGUAGGUGGCAAGCGUUAUCCGGAUUUAUUGGGCGUAAAGCGAGCGCAGGCGGUUGCUUAGGUCUGAUGUGAAAGCCUUCGGCUUAACCGAAGAAGGGCAUCGGAAACCGGGCGACUUGAGUGCAGAAGAGGACAGUGGAACUCCAUGUGUAGCGGUGGAAUGCGUAGAUAUAUGGAAGAACACCAGUGGCGAAGGCGGCUGUCUGGUCUGCAACUGACGCUGAGGCUCGAAAGCAUGGGUAGCGAACAGGAUUAGAUACCCUGGUAGUCCAUGCCGUAAACGAUGAGUGCUAGGUGUUGGAGGGUUUCCGCCCUUCAGUGCCGGAGCUAACGCAUUAAGCACUCCGCCUGGGGAGUACGACCGCAAGGUUGAAACUCAAAGGAAUUGACGGGGGCCCGCACAAGCGGUGGAGCAUGUGGUUUAAUUCGAAGCUACGCGAAGAACCUUACCAGGUCUUGACAUCUUGCGCUAACCUAAGAGAUUAGGCGUU
rnacentral:rRNA from 2 species